AUCCCAUGGUGAGGGCACUCCCUUUGGUAUUCUUUGAAUCGGUCCCGGGCUUCAAAAAGCGAUUCAUCCCGCUUUUGCUCAAAUGAUUGAAUUUUGUAGCGAUAUU
rfam:Spinacia oleracea cultivar SynViroflay scaffold93974.con0002.1, whole genome shotgun sequence.